rnacentral:pre_miRNA from 1 species
AACUGCUCUCCCAAUUAAGUCAGUUGGACUUUUGAUUUUGACUAAAUUGGGAGAAGGGUUGA